CCUACAUUUGCGGACAUAUUUGAAGUGGUGCUUUGCAAUUUAUUUACUGUAAACACAAGUAUUUUAGCCAAAUAUAAUUUAUGAAAUGGCAAACCAGAAUGAAACAACAGCAGAUAUCAGCUCCCGCUAAAGCAAAAGACGACUAACGUUACAUGCGUAGGUUAGUGCGCAGGUGUAGAGCGCGCGGCCGUCUGCAGGAGGUUUGCUGGAACGCGAUCCUGAGGUGAAAUUUCUUUAAGAGGUUUUAAAAACGUUCUACACUGUGGAGUACAGCUGCGAGUGAUGUUAGCAGGUUCCGCAUGCUGGAUAAGAACAGCAUUUGUGAGACGACAUCAACUCAUCAUCCGAGUGGACAAGAACACCAACAGAGGAAGCCAAGCCGCAAAAACAAUGAAAAAUUGUCAUGACUUUUUAUUUUAAAUAAAAGUUAUGUGAUAAUAAACA